rnacentral:rRNA from 1 species
UUGGAGGGCAAGUCUGGUGCCAGCAGCCGCGGUAAUUCCAGCUCCAAUAGCGUAUAUUAAAGUUGUUGCAGUUAAAAAGCUCGUAGUUGAAUUUCGGGGUUCUACCGUUGGUCGGGCUUUGUCUGUACUGGUGUGUAGAAUUUCUACCUUCUGGGGAACCAUCAUGCUAUUAAUUUAGCGUGGUGGGAAACCAGGACCUUUACCUUGAAAAAAUUAGUGUGUUCAAAGCAGGCUUAUGUCUGAAUACAUUAGCGUGGAAUAAUAGAAUAGGACGGUGGUCCUGUUUUGUUGGUUUCUGAAUCACCGUAAUGAUUAAUAGGGAUAGUUGGGGGCAUUAGUAUUCAAUUGUCAGAGGUGAAAUUCUUGGAUUUAUUGAAGACUAACUUCUGCGAAAGCAUUUGCCAAGGAUGUUUUCAUUAAUCAAGAACGAAAGUUAGGGGAUCGAAGACGAUCUGAUACCGUCGUAGUCUUAACCAUAAACUAUGCCGACUAGGGAUCGGACGAUGUUAAUUUUUCUUGACUCGUUCGGCGCCUUACGGGAAAC